GACGAACGCUGGCGGCGUGCCUAAUACAUGCAAGUUGAGCGCUGAAGGUUGGUACUUGUACCAACUGGAUGAGCAGCGAACGGGUGAGUAACGCGUGGGGAAUCUGCCUUUGAGCGGGGGACAACAUUUGGAAACGAAUGCUAAUACCGCAUAAAAACUUUAAACACAAGUUUUAAGUUUGAAAGAUGCAAUUGCAUCACUCAAAGAUGAUCCCGCGUUGUAUUAGCUAGUUGGUGAGGUAAAGGCUCACCAAGGCGAUGAUACAUAGCCGACCUGAGAGGGUGAUCGGCCACAUUGGGACUGAGACACGGCCCAAACUCCUACGGGAGGCAGCAGUAGGGAAUCUUCGGCAAUGGACGAAAGUCUGACCGAGCAACGCCGCGUGAGUGAAGAAGGUUGUCGGAUCGUAAAACUCUGUUGGUAGAGAAGAACGUUUGUGAGAGUGGAAAGCUCAUCAAGUGACGGUAACUACCCAGAAAGGGACGGCUAACUACGUG
rnacentral:rRNA from 1 species